rnacentral:lncRNA from 1 species
GGGAAGGAGAUAUGGAGCCAGUGAGUGGCAACUGGUUCUUCGGUGCUAUCAAAAACAGCCUUCUAUGCGCUAUCAGAGCCACUCGUCCUUUCUCCUUUACUUUCAGUCAAGGUCUAGUCUCGCGCAGCUAAUGAAAGGGAAUACCUUAGAACAGAACCUACUAUAAGCCCUGAGAGCCAGAAAGCAAACCCCCCUUACCAACCUCUUAACCUA